AUGAAACUGAGGAACACACCACAUUUCCAGGUGGUUAAGUGUUUGGUGGCUGGGGGAGUUGUUGGUGGAAGGAUGAGUUUCCAAGCCUCAUGUUCCUCUUCUGUUAAAAUGGAAUCCUCUCUGAAGAUUAUCUAUUUUAUCAUCUUAAAAAGACAUCUUCAUGGAUAUGAAACUGGACGCAGAGUUGACGCUGAAGUUCAGCUGCUGAGUCAUCUUCCAUUUCUAGAGACUGCUCGAUUUCCUGCUAAACACACUUGGGGCUUCUUCCUGGAGAGGAGCAACUGGUUCAGAGCAGCGGGGGUGGGCAGCGUCUCAGCCAUGAGGAAGCCGAGAAGCGGAUGUCUGCCUCCCCUCCUCCCUCCCAGAGGACCUGGAUGUGAAACUAACCCAGAGUGGACGCUGAAGCUCAGCUGCCAAGUAAUCUCCCAUUCCCAGAGAGACUGCACAGCUUCCUGCUCAAUGCCAGGUGGGGCUUCAUCCUGGAGAGGAGCAACAGGUUUUUUUCUUUUUUUUGUACCGGAAAACAUUUCUUACCUGGAGCACACCGGAGAUCAACACAGCCCCGCUAUCCUAGCCCGGAGCCAAGACAGCUGUCACCCAUGUUUUUGA
rnacentral:lncRNA from 1 species